CGGGACUGGGGGAGUAUUGGCUCUAUCUCAAUGGAUAGAGAAAACGGAAGCUGUAUUCGAAAUCUGUGCAUGUCCUGAAGAAAGCAAAGUAAAGUUUGCCGCUUUUACUUUCUCUGAACGCGCCCUGACAUGGUGGAACGGCCACGUCCAGACACUAACCCUGGUGGUGGCAAACUCCAUGGGUUGGGAAAACCUGAAAAGAAUGCUCCUUCGAGAAUACUGCCCAAGAGGCGAGAUUCAGAAGCUUGAACAGGAACUGUGGAACCUCUCGAUGGUAGGUUCGGACAUAGCAGGUUACACCAACAGGUUCAGUGACUUAAUAACGCUUUGCCCAGGCAUGUUAACCCUGGAGAGCCAAAAGGUCGAGAGAUACAUCUGGGGACUAUCACCCCAACUUCGUGGAAGUGUGCUAGCUUCCAGACCCUUGACUUUCGCCAGCGCCAAGGAACUAGCGCAAUCUCUUGUUGAUCAUGGUGUUUGUUAAGGAGUCGCGACUAUUGUGGCUGAACCCACCAAAGGGAACAGCAACAAUGAAAUCAAUGCCAACAACAACAAUAACAAGAAACUUUGGAACAAAAGGAAGGGACAAACUUCGCAAGAACCUUCAAAGAAGCAAAUGGUCGCGGUUCAUGCUGCUACUACCCCCNAACCUUCAAAGAAGCAAAUGGUUGCGGUUCAUGCUGCUACUACCCCCACCACAACUCCUGCUACCUCUGCGCCAACAAAACCAUAUGCGGGAAUUCUGCCCAAGUGCAGCAAGUGCAACUACCAUCACCAUGGUAUUUGUCGCGAGAUGCACUGCAAAAACUGCGACAAGAAAGGGCACACAGCCCGUUUCUGUAAAGCAUCAGCACGACCAAUCACUCAAGUUUCUGGCACUGGAGUAAGCCGGGN
rnacentral:lncRNA from 1 species